UUUUAGCAGACGCUCGUGCAGAAAAUUCCAGAAACAGUGAAGAUUACAGAUUUCGAUUUCUGAUUUUUUGUUAAUCUAUACUCCAUUCUCUUCAACACUCAGAUCAGAUGCAGAAAAUUAGAUAGUCGCGAAGGCAUGAAAGACAACGCAAAAUGAUGCAAUUUUGUACAUAUAUUCGGAUAGUUCCAACAGAGAAGUAUGAUAGAACUUAAAUAUAGGUGAAAAGAUAUCUCAGGAUGCCUUCUGGAAAGGAGAUGCAGUUGUGGUGGUCUGGAGAAGCUGAGAGUAUGUUUGUCUACUAUCUUACAGGAGCAUUGGCAAUUGCUUUGAUUGCAAGCUUUACAUUAACAAGGUCAUUGAGGAGGAAAGAGCCUUUAGUGACAGAAUUGCUUCAUGAAGACAAUACAAGGGAGGUUCUUGUAACAUAUAUGCUGGAAAUAGUCACAUCACCUUUAUCUGGUCAGUAUCUUAGUAUAAAGACACAGCUGCACACUUUAGAAAUCCAACCAUACUGGGAAGUGGGAGGCAAAUAUAUUUAAUGCCCUUUUGUCUCUAAAGUUGUCAGUAAGUUAAGAACAGUUUGUUUCAUGUCUAAUUGAAAAGGUAUAACAAACUUUCUAAAAAUAGUUGUCAGCAUGGAGUCUUAUACACCUGGGCAUAUGUAAAUUAAUAAGAACAGUUUUUCCCCUCGAUUAAGCAGUAAAUGGCAUUUUUAUGGGUGAAUUAGAAACUUGAUUUUGCCCAUCAACAAAAAUAUUCAUUUAUGUGAAGUAUUACAUAUUCUAUUUUGCUAAUCAAGUUUUCCAAUUUUUGAGAGACAUAUUGUUUUUGCCUUGGCAGUCAGUCUGUCUUUGCUGUCUGUCCGUCCGCGCAACCGAAUAGGGGUAGGGAGCCAUCUAAUGGUAAACA